rnacentral:rRNA from 1 species
UCCGCAGCCGCGGUAAUACGGAGGGGGUUAGCGUUGUUCGGAAUUACUGGGCGUAAAGCGCACGUAGGCGGACAUUUAAGUCAGGGGUGAAAUCCCGGGGCUCAACCCCGGAACGGCCCUUGAUACUGGAUGUCUGGAGUUCGAGAGAGGUGAGUGGAAUUCCGAGUGUAGAGGUGAAAUUCGUAGAUAUUCGGAGGAACACCAGUGGCGAAGGCGGCUCACUGGCUCGAUACUGACGCUGAGGUGCGAAAGCGCGGGGAGCAAACAGGAUUAGAUACCCUGGUAGUCCGCGCCGUAAACGAUGAAUGCCAGACGUCGGGCAGCAUGCUGUUCGGUGUCACACCUAACGGAUUAAGCAUUCCGCCUGGGGAGUACGGCCGCAAGGUUAAAACUCAAAGGA